AACGAACGCUGGCGGCAUGCCUAACACAUGCAAGUCGAACGAAGGCUUCGGCCUUAGUGGCGCACGGGUGCGUAACGCGUGGGAAUCUGCCCCUCGGUUCGGAAUAACAGUUAGAAAUGACUGCUAAUACCGGAUGAUGACUUCGGUCCAAAGAUUUAUCGUCCGAGGGAUGAGCCCGCGUAGGAUUAGGUAGUUGGUGGGGUAAUGGCCUACCAAGCCGACGAUCCUUAGCUGGUCGGAGAGGAUGAUCAGCCACACUGGGACUGAGACAGGGCCCAUAGUCCUACGGGAGGCAGUAGUGGGCAAUAGUGGACAAUCGGCGCAAGCCUGUUCCAGCAAUGCCGCGUGAGUGAUGAAGGCCUUUGGGUUGUAAAGCUCCUCUACCCGGGAUGAUAAUGACAGUACCGGGAGAAUAAGCUCCGGCUAACUCCGUGCCAGCAGCCGCCGUAAAAC
rnacentral:rRNA from 1 species